rnacentral:rRNA from 1 species
GAUGAACGCUGACAGAAUGCUUAACACAUGCAAGUCGAUGGGGAAGUGGUGCUUGCACCAUGGCAACCAUGGCGGACGGGUGAGUAACGCGUAAGGGACUUACCUGCAUGACUGGGAUAACAGGGGGAAACUCCUGACAAGACCGGAUAAUGUCAUGGAGCUGCAUGGCUUUAUGAUGAAAGGAGACGCCUGCGGAGAGCCUUGCGUCCUAUUAGCUAGUUGGUGAGGUAAUGGCUCACCAAGGCGAAGAUAGGUAGCCGGCCUGAGAGGGUGGACGGCCACAAGGGGACUGAGAUACGGCCCUUACUCCUACGGGAGGCAGCAGUGGGGAAUAUUGGACAAUGGGGGCAACACUGAUCCAGCAAUUCUGUGUGCACGAAGAAGGUUUUCGGAUUGUAAAGUGCUUUCAGCAGGGAAGAAGUAAGUGACGGUACCUGCAGAAGAAGCGACGGCUAAAUACGUG